rnacentral:rRNA from 1 species
AUGCAAGUCGAACGGGCGUAGCAAUACGUCAGUGGCGGACGGGUGAGUAACACGUGGGAAUAUGCCUUUCGGUUCGGAACAACUCGGGGAAACUCGUGCUUAUUCCGGAUACGCCCUUACGGGGAAAGAUUUAUCGCCGAAAGAUUAGCCCGCGUCCGAUUAGCUAGUUGGUGAGGUAAAGGCUCACCAAGGCACCGAUCGGUAGCUGGUUUGAGAGAACGACCAGCCACACUGGGACUGAGACACGGCCCAGACUCCUACGGGAGGCAGCAGUGGGGAAUCUUGGACAAUGGGCGCAAGCCUGAUCCAGCCAUGCCGCGUGAGUGAUGAAGGCCUUCGGGUUGUAAAACUCUUUUGGCGGGGACGAUAAUGACGGUACCCGCAGAAUAAGCUCCGGCUAACUUCGUGCCAGCAGCCGCGGUAAUACGAAGGGGGCUAGCGUUGUUCGGAAUUACUGGGCGUAAAGCGUGCGCAGGCGGCUUCUCAAGUCAGGGGUGAAAGCCCAGAGCUCAACUCCGGAACUGCCUUUGAGACUGAGAGGCUUGAGUACGGGAGAGGUGAGUGGAAUUCCCAGUGUAGAGGUGAAAUUCGUAGAUAUUGG